rnacentral:tRNA from 2 species
GGGGGAAUUCCCGAGCGGCCAAAGGGGUCAGACUGUAAAUCUGAUGGCUAUGCCUUCGCAGGUUCGAAUCCUGCUUCCCCCAC